UAUAGGGGAGCCGCAGGGAAACCGAGUCUUAACUGGGCGUUAAGUUGCAGGGUAUAGACCCGAAACCCGGUGAUCUAGCCAUGGGCAGGUUGAAGGUUGGGUAACACUAACUGGAGGACCGAACCGACUAAUGUUGAAAAAUUAGCGGAUGACUUGUGGCUGGGGGUGAAAGGCCAAUCAAACCGGGAGAUAGCUGGUUCUCCCCGAAAGCUAUUUAGGUAGCGCCUCGUGAAUUCAUCUUCGGGGGUAGAGCACUGUUUCGGCUAGGGGGUCAUCCCGACUUACCAACCCGAUGCAAACUACGAAUACCGAAGAAUGUUAUCACGGGAGACACACGGCGGGUGCUAACGUCCGUCGUGAAGAGGGAAACAACCCAGACCGCCAGCUAAGGUCCCAAAGUCAUGGUUAAGUGGGAAACGAUGUGGGAAGGCACAGACAGCCAGGAUGUUGGCUUAGAAGCAGCCAUCAUUUAAAGAAAGCGUAAUAGCUCACUGGUCGAGUCGGCCUGCGCGGAAGAUGUAACGGGGCUAAACCAUGCACCGAAGCUGCGGCAGCGACACUAUGUGUUGUUGGGUAGGGGAGCGUUCUGUAAGCCUGCGAAGGUGACCUGUGAGGGUUGCUGGAGGUAUCAGAAGUGCGAAUGCUGACAUAAGUAACGAUAAAGCGGGUGAAAAGCCCGCUCGCCGGAAGACCAAGGGUUCCUGUCCAACGUUAAUCGGGGCAGGGUGAGUCGACCCCUAAGGCGAGGCCGAAAGGCGUAGUCGAUGGGAAACAGGUUAAUAUUCCUGUACUUGGUGUUACUGCGAAGGGGGGACGGAGAAGGCUAUGUUAGCCGGGCGACGGUUGUCCCGGUUUAAGCAUGUAGGCUGGUU
rnacentral:rRNA from 1 species